rnacentral:rRNA from 1 species
ACAAGCGGAGGAGCAUGUGGUUUAAUUCGAUGAUACGCGAGGAACCGUUACCUGGGCUCGAACGUAAGAUGACUGUAGGUGAAAGCUUACAUCUCUUCGGAGCAUUUUACGAGGUGCUGCAUGGUUGUCGUCAGCUCGUGCCGUGAGGUGUCGGGUUAAGUCCCAUAACGAGCGCAACCCCUACCUUUAGUUGCCAUCAGGUAAUGCUGGGGACUCUAAAGGAACUGCCUACGCAAGUAGUGAGGAAGGCGGGGAUGACGUCAAAUCAGCACGGCCCUUACGUCCAGGGCUACACACGUGCUACAAUGGCCGAUACAGAGGGCAGCUACCUGGUGACAGGAUGCAAAUCUCCAAAGUCGGUCUCAGUUCGGAUCGGAGUCUGCAACCCGACUCCGUGAAGUUGGAUUCGCUAGUAAUCGCGCAUCAGCCAUGGCGCGGUGAAUACGUUCCCGGGCCUU